rnacentral:rRNA from 1 species
UACGUAGGGGGCAAGCGUUGUCCGGAUUUAUUGGGCGUAAAGAGCGUGUAGGCGGCCAUACAGGUCAGCUGUGAAAACUCGAGGCUCAACCUCGAGACGUCGGUUGAAACCGUAUGGCUAGAGUCCGGAAGAGGAGAGUGGAAUUCCCGGUGUAGCGGUGAAAUGCGCAGAUAUCGGGAAGAACACCUAUGGCGAAGGCAGCUCUCUGGGACGGUACUGACGCUGAGGUGCGAAAGCGUGGGGAGCAAACAGG